GCAGGCCUGAGACAAGGAUUUGGAGGCAAGCAGUUUAUUUGAGAGAGGAUUCCAGGAAGCAUCUGUAAGAGAGUGAGGAAGAGGGACCGGAAGUGUGGGGGUGGAAGCAUUGAAGGGGGAGAUCACAGCAGGAAAUGAAGCCAUAUCCUGUACACGCUGGCUACCACAUAUGAACCAUCAGAGAGAUGGAGGGCAAUGUCUGGAAGAAGGACGGGAAGAGGGAAUAUAAGAACAUUCAGUAUUAAUGGAUUCCAAACUCCGUGUGAUAACCAGCCGGUCCUGGACCAGUUUAUCAUCGCAGUGUGGACUGAUUCUCUUUUGCAGGAAGUUAGUUUUGACUUCACCAGCUGGAUUGGAGGGCACCUGUGGCAUACCUUGUCCUAUUGCUGUGGGGGACUUCGUCCAGCUUUUAGACAUGCAAGACUAAAUGUGAAUACCAUCUAUACGUUUGCAGGCGCUUUAAAUGAGAAUGUGUGCCCCGGCACUUACUAAG
rnacentral:lncRNA from 1 species